CAUACCACCCUGAACGCGUCUCAUCUCAUCUGAUCUUGGAAGGUAAGCAGGUUGGGCCUGGUUAGUACUUGGAUG
rnacentral:rRNA from 1 species